GAGGGUAAAAAUGGAAGAGGGGGGAGUGGAUUCCCACUCCCACCUUCCCCCAUGGGAGUGGAAAUCUCACUCCCCACUCCAAAAUUAGGUGGGACCUACGGAGUGGGAAUCCUACUCCCGCUUUAAAUAUGGUAAGUAAACACUGGAGUGGGAGGAAUUCACACUCCCACUCUAAAAAGUAAACACAGCAUUAAUGUACUUGAAUUAAAGAAUUUGUAUUAAAUUGAUACAAUUUAUGUACCUGUUUUAAUGGCAAAUUUCAAUUCAUUUCUAAGAUAAAAAUGAUAAUUUUUAAUUUAUCUAAGUGAGAAAACUUCAAUUUACUCCUCAUUUUCAUUUAAAAGAUAAGGGCAAAUAGGACCACAUUGAUGAAAUUUUUUUUUAUAUAUCUUCUUAUCAGUAAACAGAUAUAAAUUGAUGUUUUCAUACUUUUGAGGGAUAAAUUGAAAAUUGUCACUCUAAAAAAAGAUAAAUUAAAGUUUAACAUUAUUUUAAUGUUGAGGCUUUUAUGUACUCACUUACAUUGCUAAAAACUAGAAUUAAGAAUGUCAUGGAUAUUUUUUGGGGUAAUUUUUUAAAUAUAUAGUUUGAAUUAUGUAAUUUAUAUUUAUAAGUGCAGAAACUCAUGAAAAUUCAUUAGGUACCAGUGCAGGUUUAGAAAUUGCUGGAACUAAGAGUGGCAACUGGACAGUCCCAAGCCCAUAUUGCAUGGAACAAACCCAACCCUUAAUAGGCCAGUCCAAUUUCGGACGAGCCUAAUGUGCGAGCCUUGGAUGGGUUUGGGCUUCUGAAAUGUUUUAUAUAUAUAUAUAUAUAUAUAUAUAUAUAUAGUAAACCCUAUCUUACAUGCAUAUAAGAUACAUUCCCCUCACAUAAAUAGUGCAUGUGUGAGACCCACAUACCAUUCAUGUGAGAGGAAUGUAUCUUACAUGCAUGUAAGAUAGAAGGACCCUUAUAUAUAUAUAUAUAUAUAUAUAUAUAUAUAUAUAUAAUUUAACAUUUGAUUUUAAAAAAUGACACUACCUCCCCUAAAAAAAUUAAAUUGCAAAAACUUACAACAUCUAGCAUGUAAUUUUUAAGUGUUCAACAUAACUCUACCCCUAAAAAGAAAAUCAAACUAACAAAGAUUCACAUCACUAGCAAAUUAUCAUGGGAUGAGUAUUUUGUGCAGUAAACUCAUGCGGUACUUAAACAACUAUUAUCCGAAGAUUACUAAAUAAGCCUAUUGAGUUUCUUGGUUAGUUAAGUAACGUUUCUUGUGGAAGAGCUAGAGAGAAGAGUGAACAAAUAAGCCAAAGAGUAAAGAGUGUGUGUUUGCGUAAAAGAGUCUUGAGAGCUUGCUUAUAAGUACUUGUGUUGCUCUUAAUUGUUGCUAGCUUGCUUCAAAUGCCAAGUACCAUACCAUAUUUUUAAGUAGACUUGCUUAGUUCUAGAAUAUUAUAGGCUUAGAGAGUUUUCAAGCAUUGCUUAGCAAUGCCUAGAAUGAUCUAAAGAAUCUAUGUAAAAGUUAUAAAUAAUUUAGCAAAUUCUAGAGACUUCCUAACUAUGCACAAGUGUGAAAGGUGCUAAAGAUGGAAACUUCUAAAGACAAGCCAAGCUAGCACAACUUAAACUAGCAAAGUUAGCCUCUAUGGCUUGAAAACUUGGACGGUCUGCGGCAAAAUGCUGACAUCUUAAGUUCAUAACAAAUUACAAGUUUAUAAUUCCACAACCACAAAAGAGAGUAAUCCAAUAUUUGGCCAUCUUCUUCCUCAUCUUUUAAUUCCUCUCGGAUAAAAAUUUCCUCUACAGGAACUCCACCUAAUAGGAGAAAAAAAUAAUGUGACUAUAAGUUGUUUUAUUUUUUUAUUUUUUUCCCUCCCACCGCGUGAACAUUUUCUGCUUCUUCCUCCUCAAGGAUCGAAGGUAAUCAGAAAGGUUUGAUAUAAUAAUCCAACAUAAAAUAAUAAUCAUUACUAAAUCAACUAAUUUAACAUAAAAUUAAAAA
rnacentral:lncRNA from 1 species